rnacentral:rRNA from 1 species
UACAGAGGUCUCAAGCGUUGUUCGGAUUCAUUGGGCGUAAAGGGUGCGUAGGCGGCGCGGUAAGUCGGGUGUGAAAUCUCGGGGCUUAACUCCGAAACUGCAUUCGAUACUGCCGUGCUUGAGGACUGGAGAGGAGAGUGGAAUUCCUGGUGUAGCGGUGAAAUGCGCAGAUAUCAGGAAGAACACCCGUGGCGAAGGCGGCUCUCUGGGACGGUACUGACGCUGAGGCGCGAAAGCCAGGGGAGCAAACGGG